GACGAACGCUGGCGGCGUGCCUAACACAUGCAAGUCGAACGGAGAUUAUUGAUGAAGCUUGCGAUUUAAUAAUCUUAGUGGCGGACGGGUGAGUAACGCGUGGGUAACCUGCCCAUAAGAGGGGGAUAACAGCUGGAAACGGCUGCUAAUAUCGCAUACGCUUUCCGGGACACAAGUGCCGGAAAGGAAAGAUGGCCUCUACAUGUAAGCUAUCACUUAUGGAUGGACCCGCGUCUGAUUAGCUAGUUGGUGGGGUAGAAGCCUACCAAGGCUACGAUGGUUAGCUGGUCUGAGAGGAUGAUCAGCCACACUGGAACUGAGACACGGUCCAGACUCCUACGGGAGGCAGCAGUGGGGAAUAUUGCACAAUGGGCGAAAGCCUGAUGCAGCAACGCCGCGUGAGUGAUGAAGGCCUCGGGUUGUAAAGCUCUGUCUUGGGGUACGGAGUAAUAGACGGUACCCAAGGAGGAAGCCGACGGCUAACUACGUAGCC
rnacentral:rRNA from 1 species